ensembl:snoRNA
UGAUGACCGUUCCUCCUGCUGCUCUGAGUCUUGGCAAACAGGAUUUUAGGUCAUCACAGAGUAUACUAGAUCUUAUUCACUCAGGGUAUAUGAGGCAGCGGGGCUGCCUGUACACUGAAAUUUGCGGGAUCUGACAGUU